rnacentral:rRNA from 1 species
ACAGAGGGUGCAAGCGUUAAUCGGAAUUACUGGGCGUAAAGCGUGCGUAGGUGGAAGAUUAAGUCAGAUGUGAAAGCCCCGGGCUCAACCUGGGAAUUGCAUUUGAUACUGGUUAUCUAGAGUAUGGUAGAGGAUGGCGGAAUUUCCGGUGUAGCGGUGAAAUGCGUAGAUAUCUGGAGGAAUACCGGUGGCGAAGGCGGCAUCCUGGACCAUUACUGACGCUGAGGCGCGAAAGCUAGGGGAGCAAACGGGA